CCCUGCUCCAUCCUCAGCCUCCCUGUCUGCUCUGGUUUCGGAUUCCUGGUUCCGACUCUUGGCCAUGUCCCUGACUACAACUCCGGCUUCUGACUCCAGUUCUGAUCUUCACCUUGGCCCCUCGGCCCGGAUUCUGAUUCCACCCUUGGACCCGUGCCUGAUCCCUGGAUCUUCGUUGGUCAUCAUCCAAACUGCCACCGCAACCACCAGGCAAGGUUCUCCUCCACCCACCAGAGCUCUCCCACCUGAUUCCCAGGAGAUCCUACCAGCAGACAACUCUCACACUGGAUGGUCUCCCCAGUCUGACUUUCUAUGACCAUUGAGAGUAGUUGGGUGUCACCAGCCUCCUUUGUUCAUCACUCAUGGAGGCACAGAUGGCCAGAGCCUCAGCAAAUUGGUAUAAGCACACCACCUUACAGCAGCUGAGGAUCUACCCCAAUGGGAUAAAUCUAACAUCCCUAGACAUCAGUGAAAAUGUUUCCACGGACAUCAAUGGGUGAUAGAUUGUGCCUGAAGAGCAUCCACAGAAUCACCGAAAUGUAGGGCUGGAAGGGAGCCCGAGA